rnacentral:ncRNA from 1 species
CGGCUUUGACCUAACGGCCUCCGUUUGCUGGAAUUAAUCAGAGUAGUUGAGAACAAAGUGACGAACGGAUGCGUAAUGCGUGGGAAUCUGCCGAAUAGUUUGGGCCGAAUCCUGAAAAAAGUUCAAAGCGCUGUUCGAUGAGCCUGCGUAGUAUUAGUUUGUUGGUUAGGUAGGCUAGCCAAGCUAAUGAUGCUUAGCUGGUCUUUUUGAAUGAUUAGCCACACUGGGACUGAGACAUGACCCAGACUCCCAUGGGGGAUAGCAGAGGGGAAUCUUGGACAAUGGGCGAAAGCCUGAUCCAGUAAUAUCGCGUGAGUGAAGAAGGUCAAUGCUCCUUGUAAAGCUCUUACGUUGAGUGCGCAAUCAUGAGUGAAGAAGCCCCGGCUAAUUCCGUGCCCGCAGCAACGCUAAGACAAGGGGUGG